GAUGAACGCUGGCGGCGUGCCUAAUACAUGCAAGUCGAGCGAACAGAUGAGGAGCUUGCUCCUCUGACGUUAGCGGCGGACGGGUGAGUAACACGUGGAUAACCUACCUAUAAGACUGGGAUAACUUCGGGAAACCGGAGCUAAUACCGGAUAAUAUAUUGAACUGCAUGGUUCAAUAGUGAAAGACGGUUUUGCUGUCACUUAUAGAUGGAUCCGCGCCGCAUUAGCUAGUUGGUAAGGUGACGGCUUACCAAGGCAACGAUGCGUAGCCGACCUGAGAGGGUGAUCGGCCACACUGGAACUGAGACACGGUCCGGACUCCUACGGGAGGCAACAGUAGGGAAUCUUCCGCAAUGGGCGAAAGCCUGACGGAGCAACGCCGCGUGAGUGAUGAAGGUCUUCGGAUCGUAAAACUCUGUUAUUAGGGACGAACAAAUGUGUAAGUAACUAUGCACGUCUUGACGGUACCUAAUCAGAAAGCCACGGCUAGCUACGUG
rnacentral:rRNA from 1 species